CCUGGGGGGGGGGGGAAUCCCACCCACCGGGAAAAUCUCCCCCGCUAGUUCGCUCAAAUAACAACACCACCCCGUUUUUGGGGGGGGGGCCCCCUGACCCCAAAGAAACGUCCCAAGGGUUUAUUUGUUUUGGUGUAAAAACCCCACCCACCCCCGGUUAUAAAAAGGGGGGGGACGGGUUUAGGCCACGGGGGGGUUAAAACCCCCCCCCCCCUUCCCGGGUUUCUCCGAAGGAUUUUUCCCCCAAGUCCCAAUAUUAGUCGCCCAGGCAUUACGGGCAGGCCGUUUUUGGGGUUUAAAACUACUUUUUUAAGAAGAAAGCUUUGGCUAGCAAAACUCCGCGGUAAAAGAGUACCCCCUUAGAAAAUACUCUUUCUAGGAUUAUUCCAGAAUAACCAGAAACCCAGGACUAACUUACGCGCCAGCAUCCACUUUAAUACGUAGGUGGCACGCGUUGUCCGGAUCUAUGGGGCGUAAAGCGAGUGCAGGCCGUCUCUUAAGUCUGAUGCGAAAGCCUUCGGCUUAACCGGAGAAGUGCAUCGGAAACUGGGAGACUUGAGUGCAGAAGAGGACAGUGGAACUCCAUGUGUAGCGGUGGAAUGCGUAGAUAUAUGGAAGAACACCAGUGGCGCAGGCGGCUGUCUAGUCUGUAACUGACGCUGAGGCUCGAAAGCAUGGGUAGCGAACAGGAUUAGAUACCCUGGUAGUCCAUGCCGUAAACGAUGAGUGCUAAGUGUUGGAGGGUUUCCGCCCUUCAGUGCUGCAGCUAACGCAUUAAGCACUCCGCCUGGGGAGUACGACCGCAAGGUUGAAACUCAAAGGAAUUGACGGGGGCCCGCACAAGCGGUGGAGCAUGUGGUUUAAUUCGAAGCUACGCGAAGAACCUUACCAGGUCUUGACAUCUUCUGCCAAUCUUAGAGAUAAGACGUUCCCUUCGGGGACAGAAUGACAGGUGGUGCAUGGUUGUCGUCAGCUCGUGUCGUGAGAUGUUGGGUUAAGUCCCGCAACGAGCGCAACCCUUAUUAUCAGUUGCCAGCAUUCAGUUGGGCACUCUGGUGAGACUGCCGGUGACAAACCGGAGGAAGGUGGGGAUGACGUCAAAUCAUCAUGCCCCUUAUGACCUGGGCUACACACGUGCUACAAUGGACGGUACAACGAGUUGCGAAGUCGUGAGGCUAAGCUAAUCUCUUAAAGCCGUUCUCAGUUCGGAUUGUAGGCUGCAACUCGCCUACAUGAAGUUGGAAUCGCUAGUAAUCGCGGAUCAGCAUGCCGCGGUGAAUACGUUCCCGGGCCUUGUACACACCGCCCGUCACACCAUGAGAGUUUGUAACACCCAAAGCCGGUGAGAUAACCUUCGGGAGUCAGCCGUCUAAGGGACCGUUUGGU
rnacentral:rRNA from 1 species